CGCUGCUUACUUGUGGUGUUAGUUAGUUUGUCUGAACUGAAUCUGCCGAUGCAUUAUCUGAACCCACUUUCAUGUCUCUCUACACAUGGUCAUACAAUAAUUCCCUUGGUUGAAUUCUGAUUAAACAAUUGCCUACUCUGUUUGGUUUGAUUGGGAUACCCUCAUGGAUAAAAGGUAGUAUUUUAUUGAUUGGAGCACUCUGUUUGUAAAAUGACACUCUCUUGUGUUCCUACUCCACAGCUGUAUUCCAACACCCCUUCAGACUUUGAUUUCAAGCUUGAAAGGUGAGCUUACUGCCAUGGUUUAUUUCUCUUCCUUACUAAUGUUUAGUCCAUAUCAAAUUGUUCAGUUCUAAACUUCACUUUCUAUAGUCUAGCACAAGAAUUCGGCUCCCUGUGUGAAUUCGUGGAGCAUCUUGCUGCCAACGUUGACAUUGUCUUCCCAGUGAUACAUGGGAAAUUUGGUGAAGAUGGUGGUAUUCAGGUUCGGAGUUACCAACGAAUAUUAAAUAUGCUUUACAUGCAAGAGAAAAUUAUGCUGGUGCCAUAGUUCAUGCUUGCAGGUAUUAGUGCGCUUGAUUUGGCACGGAACUGGCAUGUAAUGCUGACUGUGUCUUGGUUCUUUUAUAAGAAUCCCACAUUGCUGCUGCUUUCUGUUGAUGAUGAGACGCUAACACCUACCAAAUGGCUGGGCUCCGGUCAUGCCAGGGUGCAGCCGCCGGGAAGAUAAAGUAGGUCUGCAGCCCGUCUCCGCCUCUCACCGCGCCCUUACUGCCUCCAUGGCCAAGUGCACGUUUUUUUCUCUAUCCCUCCAUGGCGCUCGUUACCGGCGGGAUACAUUUGACACUAUCUCAAAUCCAGUUUAUUUGACAUGUGUUUGAAAUGUAUAUUUAGCAUAAAGAUAAUACUGCAUUUCCUUAGGGACCUUAGUUUUGGCUCUGUUCUUGCUCAUAUUAUAAGUAAAAUAUUAAUACUUUGUGUCUCCAGCCAGUUCUUGAUCAAAGGAAGAUGCAUUAACAAUUCGUGUCUCCAACCGGUUUAGAUCAUAGGAAACUAUGGCAUAAUGCACUGCUGAAUUUUCUUGUUAGUGCUCACUGACAAUAUUUGUUCUCACGUACGGUAAUGCCUUUCGGUUAAACUAGGAAUUAUAGUUCAUUAUUGAAAGGUUUCAUCUGCAUAUUUUUUUGCUUCAUUCAUUUUCUGUCUAUUUAUUUUGCAUAGAAAACCAUCUUUGGUAUGCUUUAAUAGGGCUUAUUUAAUACAGUAAAAGCAAAAUUGGAAGUAAUAGCAAACCAACCAUGAAAAGUUUGAGAGACCAUGCAAACCACAAGAAAUGAUGUGCUCCUGUUAUUUUGCCAUGAUCUUGUGGCCCAAUUCCAAGGCUCUAUCAACUAAUGUUAGCUACUUGCUUCUUUGGAUGCCUUAAUUAGAGCCAGCGAGGAAGAUGGGGAAGACAGAGCCAGCAAGGAAGAUGGCUCGGCCCUGCCGCUGAUGCCCACCGGCCACUUCCGUCAGGCUCCGUCGUGGGAGGGGGCGCACCAUUUUUGGGUGUUCCUUCCUACAGCUAUCUUGACCAUUUGCUUUGGAAGGAGUAAUUCAACUCAGGAAGAACAAAUAAUUUGAGACUUUUUGUCUUUCCUACGAUCUGUUCAGGAACUGUAUCACAACAGAUCAUUGGCAUUGUAGCUUCAGUGGACAUGUAUGCUGAAUAUCCCCUCACUGGACAAUAUUGGAUUUUAGUGUAUACAAGCCCUCCUCUCAGCUGCUUAGGCAUAAACACCUUAUUGCAAAUGUUCUUCGUGUCUCGCCUCCCCAUCGUGAUGGGUGGCUCCUACAGCUUCGCCAUGCCAACCAUCUCCAUCAUCUUGGCUGGACGCUACGACAUGUGGGAGAUCCUCACGAGGAUAUUAUUUGCAGAUUUUAGGAAAGGAAACCUGACAGAGUUUCAGGGAAGUGGAGUGAGUUCCCUAUUUACAUUUAAAUUGUACUCCCUUCCUUCUUGAAAAGAAGGCAUAUCAGUUUUGGUCAAAGUCAAACAAUGUAUUGGUUUGCUCU